rnacentral:rRNA from 1 species
CAUAUUCUAGUAUGAGAAAUUAACGAUUUAAGUCCUUCUUAAAUGAGGCCAUUUACCCAUAGAGGGUGCCAGGCCCGUAUAACGUUAAUGAUUACUAGAUGAUGUUUCCAAAGAGUCGUGUUGCUUGAUAGUGCAGCACUAAGUGGGUGGUAAACUCCAUCUAAAACUAAAUAUAACCAUGAGACCGAUAGUAAACAAGUACCGUGAGGGAAAGUUGAAAAGAACUCUGAAUAGAGAGUUAAAUAGUACGUGAAACUGCUUAGAGGUUAAGCCCGAUGAACCUGAAUAUCCGUUAUGGAAAAUUCAUCAUUAAAGUUAUAAUAUUUAAACAAUAUUAUACAAAUAAUGUGCAUUUUUUCCAUAUAAGGACAUUGUAAUCUAUUAACAUAUUAAAUUUAUCAUAAAAUAUGGCUUAUAGUUUAUUCAAAUUAUUAUGCUUGCAUUUUAACAUAGAAUAAAUGUCAUUAAUUUGAUAAAGUGUUGAUAGACUAAUAAGAAUACAGUGCGUUAAUUUUUCGGAAUUAUAUAAUGGCAUAAUUAUCAUUGAUUUUUGUGUUUAUUAUAAGCACUUGUAUGAUUAACAAUGCGAAAGAUUCAGGAUACCUUCGGGACCCG